GAUGAACGCUGGCGGUAGGCCUAACACAUGCAAGUCGAACGGCAGCACAGGAGAGCUUGCUCUCUGGGUGGCGAGCGGCGGACGGGUGAGGAAUACAUCGGAAUCUACCUUUUCGUGGGGGAUAACGUAGGGAAACUUACGCUAAUACCGCAUACGACCUACGGGUGAAAGUGGGGGACCGCAAGGCCUCACGCGAUUAGAUGAGCCGAUGUCCGAUUAGCUAGUUGGCGGGGUAAUGGCCCACCAAGGCGACGAUCGGUAGCUGGUCUGAGAGGAUGAUCAGCCACACGGGAACUGAGACACGGUCCAGACUCCGACGGGAGGCAGCAGUGGGGAAGAUUGGACAAUGGGCGCAAGCCUGAUCCAGCCAUACCGCGUGGGUGAAGAAGGCCUUCGGGUUGUAAAGCCCUUUUGUUGGGAAAGAAAUCCUGUCGAUUAAUACUCGGUGGGGAUGACGGUACCCAAAGAAUAAGCACCGGCUAACUUCGUGCCAGCAGCCGCGGUAACAC
rnacentral:rRNA from 1 species